UACGUAGGGGGCAAGCGUUGUCCGGAAUCAUUGGGCGUAAAGAGCGUGUAGGCGGUUCGGUAAGUCGGCUGUGAAAGUCCAGGGCUCAACCCUGGGAUGCCGGUCGAUACUGCCGGACUAGAGUUCGGAAGAGGCGAGUGGAAUUCCCGGUGUAGCGGUGAAAUGCGCAGAUAUCGGGGAGGAACACCUAUGGCGAAGGCAGCUCGCUGGGACGUUACUGACGCUGGAGACGCGAAAGCGUGGGGAGCAAACAGG
rnacentral:rRNA from 1 species